AACGAACGCUGGCGGCAGGCUUAACACAUGCAAGUCGAGCGCAUCCUUCGGGGUGAGCGGCGGACGGGUGAGUAACGCGUGGGAACGUGCCCUCUUCUACGGAAUAGCCUCGGGAAACUGAGAGUAAUGCCGUAUACGCCCGCAAGGGGGAAGAUUUAUCGGAGGAGGAUCGGCCCGCGUUGGAUUAGGUAGUUGGUGGGGUAACGGCCUACCAAGCCGACGAUCCAUAGCUGGUUUGAGAGGAUGAUCAGCCACACUGGGACUGAGACACGGCCCAGACUCCUACGGGAGGCAGCAGUGGGGAAUCUUGGACAAUGGGGGCAACCCUGAUCCAGCCAUGCCGCGUGAUCGAUGAAGGCCUUAGGGUUGUAAAGAUCUUUCAGCUGGGAAGAUAAUGACGGUACCAGCAGAAGAAGCCCCGGCUAACUCCGUG
rnacentral:rRNA from 1 species